UCUCCUGGACUCACGUGACCC
rnacentral:miRNA from 1 species